CCAUUCCCUGCAAGUGCCUGACAGCCUUUUCUCCUUGUUUUUGUAGAUAGGUGAACUCAGCUUUGUCUCUUUCUCCAAGGAAACUUUGCUUUCUAGACCAGGCACCUUAAUCAGAUUCACUUCAUUCAGUUUGGUUCUCUUAACUAAUUCUUCUGACCUGGGAUGUGUCAAUUUUUGAUGGGGUGAAUUACAUACACUUGAUAACAGUGUGGGGCAACCGUAAUCCUAACCUAAAUGAAUCAUUUAGGUGAAGAGUGCCGCUGUGUUAAAUGGUUAGAUGAUGUGAAGACCUUUUUUUAGAUCACAUUUUCCUCAUUGACAUGUAAAUGUAGUUGUGUUUCUAUACAGAAUUUUGCAAAGAAAUUACACUUUGUUUUGGAGAUCUCUGUUAUGCCUCCUUAUACUACUAGUUCUCGCUUUAAUAGGGUGCAAAAUAAUGUCAAAGAAGAUGUUGAAUGACUGGCUUCAAAACAGGGAACUACAUCCAUACGAUAUCUUUCUCUGUGAGACAGAAAUGAGGGAAUUCUUUGAGAACAGAUAUCUCAAACAUGCAAGUAAGGACUGAGCAGAAGUCACCAUGCAGCAUCACUGCCAGCAGGAAGUAUUCCUUCUUGGGUGGAGCCUAGGGCAUUCAAGUUAAAAAGAAAUAAUCCAAUUAUGGAAACUGUUGGAGUAAGGAAAUGGAAAUGAAACAGUGGCAAGAAAUAUAAUUUCCCCCCUCAAGAGCUUAUAAAUUCUUUUCUGGAAAAGGCAUGAUUCAAAUUAACUCAGUUGUAAUACUUUUAAAAUUACAGGCUGCAUUUUGAAGACACUUGUUCAGCUUUUAAGUGUAAAGUCAUGCAAAUGCCAAGAUCACAUACACUAACUACUUAGUUUUCAUUAGCAGUUGUCUUGAAUACACAAUAAAUGGCAAGCACAAUAGUCUACAGUCUUUUCAUUGUGAAACCACAAAGUAAUGUGAUU